GUGAAUCAUCAAAUCUUUGAACGCAAAUUGCGCUUCCUAGCAUCCCGGGAAGUAUGCCUGUUUGAGGGUCAGUAUUAACAAAAAAAUCGGUUUGGUUGCAAAUUGUGACGUUUCCGGAGUUUGGGCUAUCUUAACUUUUUUGGUUAAGGGGCUUGAAAUUGACCUUUUUUGCGCAUUUUUAGACGUACAUAAAUUUUUUUUUUUAUUCGUCUAUUCUUAUUCCCAAAUUUUAAUAAGAUGCAA
rnacentral:misc_RNA from 1 species